rnacentral:rRNA from 1 species
CGGGAGGCAGCAGUGGGGAAUAUUGCACAAUGGGCGCAAGCCUGAUGCAGCCAUGCCGCGUGUGUGAAGAAGGCCUUCGGGUUGUAAAGCACUUUUGUCAGGGAAGAAAUCGUUCGGGCUAAUACCUCGGGCAGUUGACGGUACCUGAAGAAUAAGCACCGGCUAACUACGUGCCAGCAGCCGCGGUAAUACGUAGGGUGCAAGCGUUAAUCGGAAUUACUGGGCGUAAAGCGCGCGUAGGUGGUUUAUUAAGUUGGGUGUGAAAGCCCCGGGCUCAACCUGGGAACUGCGCUUAAGACUGGAGAGCUAGAAAACGGAAGAGGGUAGUGGAAUUCCCAGUGUAGAGGUGAAAUUCGUAGAUAUUGGGAAGAACACCAGUGGCGAAAGCGGCUACCUGG